rnacentral:rRNA from 1 species
UACGAAGGGGGCUAGCGUUGUUUGGAAUAACUGGGCGUAAAGAGCUCUUAGGCGGAUUUGCAAGUCAGGGGUGAAAUCCCGGGGCUUAACCUCGGAACUGCCUUUGAAACUGCAAAUCUGGAAUCUCAGAGGGGAUAGCGGAAUUCCUAAUGUAGGGGUGAAAUCCGUAGAUAUUAGGAGGAACACCGGUGGCGAAGGCGGCUAUCUGGAUGAGUAGUGACGCUGAGGAGCGAAAGCGUGGGGAUCAAACAGG